rnacentral:rRNA from 1 species
GAUGAACGCUGGCGGCGUGCCUAAUACAUGCAAGUCGAGCGAACAGACGAGGAGCUUGCUCCUCUGACGUUAGCGGCGGACGGGUGAGUAACACGUGGAUAACCUACCUAUAAGACUGGGAUAACUUCGGGAAACCGGAGCUAAUACCGGAUAAUAUAUUGAACCGCAUGGUUCAAUAGUGAAAGACGGUUUUGCUGUCACUAAUAGAUGGAUCCGCGCCGCAUUAGCUAGUUGGUAAGGUAACGGCUUACCAAGGCAACGAUGCGUAGCCGACCUGAGAGGGUGAUCGGCCGCACUGGAACUGAGACACGGUCCAGACUCCUACGGGAGGCAGCAGUAGGGAAUCUUCCGCAAUGGGCGAAAGCCUGACGGAGCAACGCCGCGUGAGUGAUGAAGGUCUUCGGAUCGUAAAACUCUGUUAUUAGGGAAGAACAAAUGUGUAAGUAACUAUGCACGUCUUGACGGUACCUAAUCAGAAAGCCACGGCUAACUACGUG